CCUACGGGUGGCAGCAGUGAGGAAUAUUGGUCAAUGGACGCAAGUCUGAACCAGCCAUGCCGCGUGCAGGAUGACGGCUCUAUGAGUUGUAAACUGCUUUUGUACGGGGGUAAACCCCGCUACGUGUAUCGGUUUGAACGUAUCGUACGAAUAAGGCUCGGCUAACUCCGUGCCAGCAGCCGCGGUAAUACGGAGGAUCCGAGCGUUAUCCGGAUUUAUUGGGUUUAAAGGGUGCGUAGGCGGGUUGAUAAGUUAGAGGUGAAAUGUCUGGGCUCAACCCCGAAACUGCCUCGAGGACUGUGGGACUAGAGAAUAGGGGCGGCAGGAGGAAUGUAUGGUGUAGCGGUGAAAUGCUUAGAGAUCAUACAGAACACCGAUUGCGAAGGCAGCUUACUAAACUAUAGCUGACGUUGAGGCACGAAAGCGUGGGUGGCAAACAGGAUUAGAUACCCUUGUAGUC
rnacentral:rRNA from 1 species